UACGUAGGUGGCAAGCGUUGUCCGGAUUUAUUGGGCGUAAAGCGCGCGCAGGUGGUGCGGUAAGUCUGCCGUGAAAUCUCCCGGCUCAACUGGGAGGGGGCGGUGGAGACUGCCGGACUGGAGGGACUUAGAGGCCGGUGGAAUUCCCGGUGGAGUGGUGAAAUGCGUAGAGAUCGGGAGGAACACCAGUGGCGAAGGCGGCCGGCUGGGGGUGCCCUGACGCUGAGGCGCGAAAGCGUGGGGAGCGAACCGG
rnacentral:rRNA from 1 species